rnacentral:snRNA from 1 species
GAGUAAAGCAUAUCACCCUCAGA